rnacentral:rRNA from 1 species
CGAACGGGGAGCAGCCCAGAGCCUGAAUCAGUAUGUGUGUUAGUGGAAGCGUCUGGAAAGGCGCGCGAUACAGGGUGACAGCCCCGUACACAAAAAUGCACAUGCUGUGAGCUCGAUGAGUAGGGCGGGACACGUGGUAUCCUGUCUGAAUAUGGGGGGACCAUCCUCCAAGGCUAAAUACUCCUGACUGACCGAUAGUGAACCAGUACCGUGAGGGAAAGGCGAAAAGAACCCCGGCGAGGGGAGUGAAAAAGAACCUGAAACCGUGUACGUACAAGCAGUGGGAGCACGCUUAGGCGUGUGACUGCGUACCUUUUGUAUAAUGGGUCAGCGACUUAUAUUCUGUAGCAAGGUUAACCGAAUAGGGGAGCCGAAGGGAAACCGAGUCUUAACUGGGCGUUAAGUUGCAGGGUAUAGACCCGAAACCCGGUGAUCUAGCCAUGGGCAGGUUGAAGGUUGGGUAACACUAACUGGAGGACCGAACCGACUAAUGUUGAAAAAUUAGCGGAUGACUUGUGGCUGGGGGUGAAAGGCCAAUCAAACCGGGAGAUAGCUGGUUCUCCCCGAAAGCUAUUUAGGUAGCGCCUCGUGAAUUCAUCUCCGGGGGUAGAGCACUGUUUCGGCAAGGGGGUCAUCCCGACUUACCAACCCGAUGCAAACUGCGAAUACCGGAGAAUGUUAUCACGGGAGACACACGGCGGGUGCUAACGUCCGUCGUGAAGAGGGAAACAACCCAGACCGCCAGCUAAGGUCCCAAAGUCAUGGUUAAGUGGGAAACGAUGUGGGAAGGCCCAGACAGCCAGGAUGUUGGCUUAGAAGCAGCCAUCAUUUAAAGAAAGCGUAAUAGCUCACUGGUCGAGUCGGCCUGCGCGGAAGAUGUAACGGGGCUAAACCAUGCAC